rnacentral:rRNA from 1 species
GAUGAACGCUAGCUACAGGCUUAACACAUGCAAGUCGAGGGGCAGCAUGAACUUAACUUGCUAAGUUCGAUGGCGACCGGCGCACGGGUGAGUAACACGUAUCCAACCUCCCGCAUACUCGGGGAUAGCCUUCUGAAAGGAAGAUUAAUACCCGAUGGUUUCAAGAGUCCGCAUGAAAACUUGAAUAAAGAUUCAUCGGUAUGCGAUGGGGAUGCGUUCCAUUAGGUAGUAGGCGGGGUAACGGCCCACCUAGCCUGCGAUGGAUAGGGGUUCUGAGAGGAAGGUCCCCCACAUUGGAACUGAGACACGGUCCAAACUCCUGCGGGAGGCAGCAGUGAGGAAUAUUGGUCAAUGGGCGCGAGCCUGAACCAGCCAAGUAGCGUGAAGGAUGACUGCCCUACGGGUUGUAAACCUCUUUUAUAUGGGAAUAAAGUGUGCCACGUGUGGCAUUUUGUAUGUACCUUAUGAAUAAGCAUCGGCUAACUCCGUGCAGCCGCCGCCGUAACAC